rnacentral:lncRNA from 1 species
UCAUGUAUAUCUGUCUUCAGAAGUGGUCAGAAAAUCAGUAUCUGCCAACAGUUAGAUAUGGCAUGAUGAUGGAGCAAUGAAAAUAGCAACAAUAUGAGAAAAAAGGUAAUAUUUUACUCAUUUUGAAAAGU